UUUCAAAGUGUUUAGUUCAGGUCAGGGCAGCUUCCCUGUUUUGUUAAUUAAAUUUGGCACAUUGAAUGACUGAAUAUACUUCCUAGUAUAUAC